UACAGAGGUCUCAAGCGUUGUUCGGAUUCAUUGGGCGUAAAGGGUGCGUAGGUGGCAUGGUAGGUCGGAUGUGAAAUCCCGGGGCUCAACCCCGGAACUGCAUUCGAUACUGCUGCGCUAGAGUACUGGAGAGGAGAUUGGAAUUUACGGUGUAGCAGUGAAAUGCGUAGAUAUCGUAAGGAAGACCAGUGGCGAAGGCGGAUCUCUGGACAGUUACUGACACUGAGGCACGAAGGCCAGGGGAGCAAACGGG
rnacentral:rRNA from 1 species